GCUACUGCCAUCAGAGUUCGAUUAAGCCAUGUUAGUCGAGGGUACCUCUUCUUCUUCGGAGGAUGAGGUAACCCGGCGGACGGCUCAGUAACACGUGGAUAACUUGCCCUUGGGUCUGGGAUAACCCCUGGGAAACUGGGGCUAAUACCGGAUAGAGCAUCGAUCGCUGGAAUGCAUGAUGCUCGAAAACUACGGUGCCCAAGGAUAGGUCUGCGGCUGAUUAGGUUGUUGUUGAUGUAAUGGACCAACAAGCCUACGAUCGGUGCGGGUUGUGAGAGCAAUAGCCCGGAGAUGGGUUCUGAGAAAAGAACCCAGGUCCUACGGGACGCAUCAGGCGCGAAAACUUUACAAUGUGCGAAAGCACGAUAAGGGAACUCUGAGUGCCCCCUAAGGGGGCUGUUCUAGUGUCUAAAAAGCAAUAGAAGUAAGGGCUGGGCGAGACCGGUGCCAGCCGCCGCGGUAACACCGGCAGCCCAAGUGGUAGCCACGUUUAUUGGGUCUAAAGCGUUCGUAGCCGGCUUGGUAAGUUCCUUGGUAAAUUUAGCCGCUUAACGGUUAAGCUUUCAGGGAAUACUGCUUGGCUUGGGACUGGGAGAGGUCAGAGGUACUCCAGGGGUAGGGGUGAAAUCCAUUAAUCCUUGGGGGACCACCGGUAGCGAAGGCGUCUGACCAGACCAGCUCCGACGGUGAGGGACGAGGGCUAGGGGCGCGAACCGGAUUAGAUACCCGGGUAGUCCUAGCUGUAAACGAUGCGGGCUAGGUGUUGGCAUUACUGCGAGUGGUGCCAGUGCCGAAGGGAAGCCGUUAAGCUCGCCAUCUGGGGAGUACGGUCGCAAGGCUUAAACUUAAAGGAAUUGGCGGGGGAGCACCACAACGGGUGGAGCCUGCGGUUCAAUUGGAUCAACGCCGGA
rnacentral:rRNA from 1 species